rnacentral:rRNA from 1 species
GAUGAACGCUGGCGGCGUGCCUAACACAUGCAAGUCGAGCGAUUCUCUUCGGAGAAGAGCGGCGGACGGGUGAGUAACGCGUGGGUAACCUGCCCUGUACACACGGAUAACAUACCGAAAGGUAUGCUAAUACGGGAUAUACGCUUUAGUCGCAUGGCUGAAGUAUCAAAGCUCCGGCGGUACAGGAUGGACCCGCGUCUGAUUAGCUAGUUGGUAAGGUAACGGCUUACCAAGGCGACGAUCAGUAGCCGACCUGAGAGGGUGAUCGGCCACAUUGGAACUGAGACACGGUCCAAACUCCUACGGGAGGCAGCAGUGGGGAAUAUUGCACAAUGGGCGAAAGCCUGAUGCAGCAACGCCGCGUGAGCGAUGAAGGCCUUCGGGUCGUAAAGCUCUGUCCUCAAGGAAGAUAAUGACGGUACUUGAGGAGGAAGCCCCGGCUAACUUCGUGCCAGCCGCCGCAGUAU